rnacentral:rRNA from 1 species
UGCCAGCCGCCGCGGUAAUACGGAGGGUGCAAGCGUUAAUCGGAAUUACUGGGCGUAAAGCGCUCGUAGGCGGUUUGUUAAGUCGGAUGUGAAAGCCCCGGGCUCAACCUGGGAACUGCAUUCGAUACUGGCAAACUAGAGUAUAGAAGAGGCAAGUGGAAUUCCGGGUGUAGCGGUGAAAUGCGUAGAUAUCCGGAGGAACACCAGAGGCGAAGGCGGUCACCUGGCUCGCAACUGACGCUGAGGCGCGAAAGCGUGGGGAGCAAACAGGAUUAGAUA